rnacentral:rRNA from 1 species
UUAAAAUUAUAUUUUUUAAUUAUUAUUUAUUUAUUUAAGUAUUUUAGAAAUAAGUUUUUUUUAUUACCUGCUAAGUUUUUUUAUUAAAAAUAUAAUAAAAUUUAUUAGUACCUUUUGUAUCAGGGUUAAUUAAUUUUUUUAUUUAUUUUUAUUUCCCGAAAAAAGGGUAUCUAUAUUAUGUUUUUUUUUAUUGUUAAAUUAAUAUUUAUAAGCUUAUUAUAGUAGAAAUAUUCUAUUCGCCCCUUUAUUAUAUCUGGUUAUUUAGGAUUUCAAUUUAAUUGAAAAUUAAUGAUAAUUUUUAUUUUUUUUUAUAUUUAAUUUUAUAUAAUUUGGGAUAAUCUUUUUUAUUAUUUAAAAUUUUAAAUAAUUAAUUAUUCUUUAUUUUAAAAUCUUUUAUUUAGUUCUUAAUAGAUUAUAAUUGGUAUUUAUAAUUUUUUUUUAUUUAUAUUAUUACUAAAUUAUUUUAAUUAAUUGUUAUUUAUUUAAAUUAAUGAUUAAAUUAGUAUAAUUUAUAAUUAUAAUAUAAUUAAUUCGACAAAUUAAAUCUUCAACUGUUUAUCAAAAACAUUUCUUUUAGAAUAAAAUUAAAAGUAAAUUCUGCCCUAUGAAAUAUAUUAAAUGGCUGCAGUAUUUUGACUGUGCAAAGGUAGCAUAAUAAUUAGUCAUUUAAUUGUUGACUUGUAUGAAUGGAUAAAUGAGAGAUUAAUUUUUUUUAUUGUAUUAUUAAAAUUUUAUUUUUAAGUGAAAAAGCUUAGUUAGUUUUUAGGGACGAAAAGACCCUAUAGAACUUUAUUAUAUUUAAUUUAUUAAAUUUUUAGUAAAAUUUAUAUUAAUAGUUUAAUAAUUUUUUUGUUGGGGUGAUAGAUAAAUUUUAACUUUAUCUUUGUUUAUCAUUAAUUUAUGAUUUUUUUGAUCCUAUUUUGGAUUAUAAGUUUUAGUUACCUUAGGGAUAACAGCGUAAUUUUAAUGGGGAGUUCAUAUUUAUAUUAAAGUUUGCGACCUCGAUGUUGAAUUAAGAUAAGUAUAAGGGGUAGGUUUUUUAUUACUAAGUCUGUUCGACUUUUAAAUUCUUACAUGAUUUGAGUUCAAACCGGUGUGAGCCAGGUUGGUUUCUAUCUUAAAAUUACUUUUUUUUAUAGUACGAAAGGACCUAAAAAAUCAAUUUUUUUUGUUUAAAUUGAAUUUUAUU